AUUGAACGCUGGCGGCAUGCCUUACACAUGCAAGUCGAACGGUAACAGGUCUUCGGAUGCUGACGAGUGGCGAACGGGUGAGUAAUACAUCGGAACGUGCCCGAUCGUGGGGGAUAACGCAGCGAAAGCUGUGCUAAUACCGCAUACGAUCUACGGAUGAAAGCGGGGGAUCGCAAGACCUCGCGCGGACGGAGCGGCCGAUGGCAGAUUAGGUAGUUGGUGGGAUAAAAGCUUACCAAGCCGACGAUCUGUAGCUGGUCUGAGAGGACGACCAGCCACACUGGGACUGAGACACGGCCCAGACUCCUACGGGAGGCAGCAGUGGGGAAUUUUGGACAAUGGGGGAAACCCUGAUCCAGCCAUGCCGCGUGCAGGAUGAAGGCCUUCGGGUUGUAAACCGUCUUUCUAGUAGGACGAAGCGAAAGUAGACGGUACCUACAGAAGAAGGACCGGCCGAACUACGUG
rnacentral:rRNA from 1 species